rnacentral:rRNA from 1 species
UACGUAGGGGGCAAGCGUUGUCCGGAUUUAUUGGGCGUAAAGCGCUCGUCGGUGGUUCGGUAAGUCGGAUGUGAAAUCUCCAGGCUCAACCUGGAGGGGUCAUUCGAUACUGCCGUGACUAGAGGUCGGUAGGGGAGUGUGGAAUUCCUGGUGGAGCGGUGAAAUGCGCAGAGAUCAGGAGGAACACCCGUAGCGAAGGCGGCACUCUGGGCCGAUACUGACGCUGAGGCGCGAAAGCCAGGGGAGCAAACGGG